GAUGCUAUUAUGUAUUUCCUGACCAGAUGGCAGUUUUCCAUCCACUUACAACAACCUAGAGUGUGACAUGUAAUUCUUCACUCUCUAUUAAUACUAUAUUUUCCAGUUAAAAACAUUUAUUUUACUUGCAUUUAUUGAAAUGGAAAAUAUCAGUCACUGAUCAACAUCCUUCCAUCCCUAUCCACUCCCAAAUUUGGGUUAGUGCAUUCUUUAUGUAUAAUAAAACUUUCAAGUUAACAUAGUUUAAUUACAAUAUUUUAGUAUCUCUGCAAAAAUCUAUGUUAAUGUUAAUCAACUGCAAAA
rnacentral:lncRNA from 1 species